GAGGUCUUAGCUUAAAUAAAAGUGUUGGGCUGCAUUCAGGAGAUGUAUAUUAGAAUUAUACAGGCCUUC
rnacentral:tRNA from 1 species